rnacentral:lncRNA from 1 species
GGGCGCCCUGGCCCAGUGCCCAGCCCUUGCAACUUGAGCCAUCCCUACUUAACAACCUCUAUCCUUUGGGUGUCCCCGUAGGGACAGAGAGCUGCAUUUUCUGAGGUCUUUCAUAGACUUGAGGGUCCAGCGACACUCCUCCCUCACCUGGGGAACCCCUUAGCUGCCUGCAGGCUGCCAAGUGGCAAAGGAUCCAGGAAAAGGCACAGGACUGGAAAGCGCUACCCAGCAAUCUGUGUAUUCGGCAAUUAACAAAGGACAUCGCCUUCUUACAAUGCAGAACAGACGAUGCACUGUCUCAGGUCACGCUUAGCCUCCUACGGGGGCACGACAGAAGAAGAGGAACAUUUAGAGAGGCACAGCUCCUACAUCCUUGGAUGGGGAGAGUGGGGAGCAAACAGGCCAGGAGCCUACUGUGAUCAGAGCUGGGGGAGCCAGUGUGAGCAGCAGGGAGUGUUCAUUCCAUGGGAACCACACAGCUGCCUGCACCAUCCCUAUAUUCUUAGAGAAUAGAUGCUCCCUGCUCAGGAGUCAGGAGGGAGCUGUGAGCAUCCCAGAGACAAGCAGGUUUCCAGAAACUAUCUCUCAGUAAUGCAGAACCCACCUUCCAGCAUCGAAACUGGGGGCCGCAUGAACUUUGACAAGGAGACAACAAUCAAGGUGGGACAGAUUUGUGCCUCAAACUCUCUUGAAAAUAUAAUUUUCUUCCCUUGGAUAUAGCUGGCUCGAGUGAAGCAGCCUUCUUUUAAUCUUGACAAAAUAAUGAAAUCAGAUCAGUGAUAUUGGCGUGUUUCAUGUGGACACAUGAUGCUGGGAGAACUUCAGAGCUAGGCAGCUCCCACAACUGCCAAGAGACUGAAGCUGAACUUCAAGGCAGAGUCCUCCAGAGUGGCUUAGGCAAAGUCUCCACCUUGCUGAAGCCCUUCCUGGUCCACCACUCCUUGUGGAGGAGAGGGGAAGGUGGGAGCCAGGGUCUGGGGCUUUGCCGGGCUGGUGGCCGCCUCAACAUUGGCUUUGGGAUGAAUCUCAGGACCAGACUUCCCCGCCCUUGUGUGGGAGGUGUGAGGGGCUGGAGCUGGGAGGCAGGAAGUGAGCGCAGAUGGGCUACCGCCUGGACAGCUGUGCGGGGAACAGAGCACAUCUGUCUGGGUGUGAGUGGGGCCCCUCCCCACAACCUCUGCUGAUUCUACAUGUUUGAUAGGGUGUGGGCUGAGGGUGUGGGCUGAGGGUCCCAAAUGGGGAAGAAGAUGGGAAAGUCUGACUAUAGAGCAGGAACGAGGGUUGCUGAUGGGGUAUGUUCAGAUGGAGGGAGAGGAGGGUUGAAGAGAAAGUGGAAAAUGGAAGCAAACAGAUCAAAUUUUAUCUUUCUCAGGAUGGGCUCUGGGCUUUCAGCGGCUCUCCAAGCCCCAGGGUCUGAUGUCUGUUCCUCUGGGAAGCUGCCCUAGACCCCUGGCCGCCCCACCCACAGGGUGCUCCCUCCUGGUGCUUCCAGUAUCUUACAUCGUAGUUGUGAAAGUCCCUGGGAUAACUGCUCAUUUUUCUACCUUACCUACUGGACUGCGGGUGUAUUAAGAUCAGAGACCUUGUCUCUGUGACUGAAUCCUCACUCUGUAGACGUGUGUUGAGUGAAUGAAUGAUUUUAUGACCUUAACCAACACAAAUUUUUCUAUUUAAUUCCUUAAUUUUUCUCUAAUUGGCUUUAAAAAUUGCUAGGAAAGCUUAUCCCAAGUAGAUGCCUGGGAGAUCUUUGGGAGUUAGAAGCUGGAGUAGAUUUCUCAUCAGAAAUUUGCCAGCAGGCCUGGAAGUGAGAGAGCCUUUUGCUCUUUUCAGGGAGCAAAGCAGAGAGGAAAGGCUCAUUCUAGAAACUGCACACCCUGACUUGGCUUCAUGGCCAUUUGUGUGGCCUCCUUGGGGCGGUUGGUCUCCCUCCACAUGAAGCUGUCAUCUGCCUGAUAUUGAGCCAGCUAGGCAGGGAGUAUGGAUCACACAGACCUCUGCAGGCUCAGGAGGUGGAUAAUUUCCCCACAUCUCUCCCCUCCCUCACCUCUCUCUGGUUUUCACAGUGCAAUGAAAGGAUGUGGGAGUUUGAGACCCAUCUCUGCUGUGUGGCCCUGGCCAUGUGCAGUGGGUAAGUACAUCAGCAAGCAAACUGGCCUCAAGAAUCCCGCCCUAUCCUGGGCAUCUGGGGUUGAGGCUGGCUGUGCCAACCUUUGCACAGGGUUUCAAUCUGACCUCACUCAGAAAACGGAGCCACUUGCUUAGAGUCCCUCUCUCUGAACACGCUCUCCCCUCUGGAGGAAAAGCAUUGCAAUCCCAAGCUCCUGCUGCUGCCGUACAUCUGCAUCUUAUUCAUCUUUGAAGCUCCUGCAAUGCCUCCAACGGGGACACAACUAAAGGAAGCUCUCAGAACGCCCAGCUAUCCCCACUGCAGAAGGCUCUCCCUGAAAGGGCACAGGUGGAGGACGUUUGCAUUUAUCUGGAGACAGUUCAUGGAGAAACACAAAGAGGUGUCCUGACAAGACAACAGGUCCACAGCAGUCGUCAUCAUGAGUGCUCACCAUAUGCCAGGGUUCAUCUUUUAAAAUCCUUAACCAAACAACCAAACUGUGGUUGGGAUUAUUCUCUUUUUAUAGGUGAGAAAACUGAGGCUGAAAGCCAUUGGGUGGUUUGCCAAAGCUGAGAAGUAGCUGAGCUGGGGUUUGUACUCACACCACGGUGACUCGGAGGCCCAAGCCAGUUCUGACACACUGCCUUCCCAUGACAUUCCCACGACAGGUUCCCGAGGUCGUUGGAAUGCUUACACAUUUCAGCAACUUCAUGGCAACUGCCCAGCUCGACCCAGAAGAUAAUACUACCUUGUACUCCCCCUGCCGCUUCCUUCCUCCAGGCAGCUCACAGACAUGACCUCAUUCCCUCUCCCAGAGUCCCAUAGGGGUGAAGGACAGGGUGGGGAUCGUUAACUCUGCUUCCUAGGGAGGAAAGGGAGGCCCAGAGAGGGAUGCUGGCCCACCCUGGGUCAUCCAGCCAGCUAGCGGGAGAGCUGCAACUGGAAAUCAGGCUUCCCUGCCCUCGGGGACAGUUAUUUAGCCUCCUGGAUGUGAGCUAGAAUCACCCCUAAGAUGCAGCAAUUGGGGUACUCCUCUUGGGGUACUGGGACUCAGUGGCUGAAACAGCUCCAAGAGAGUUGGGCCUGUGCUGAAAACAGAAAUCCGAGAUGCAUAUAAAUUCAAUCCGUAUGAGAAGAGCAGGGUGGCCUGGGAGGAGUGGUCACCGCAGUGGCUCCACCUCCUACCCGGCCACCUGCAGCCCUGCCUGGGCUGCUCUUGGUCUCUCUGUGCCCAGCUUCCCUGGCCGGAUGCCCUGGGGGCCAGAGCAGCCGCAGGUGCGAUGAAAAGAACACUGGCCUUGAGGUCAUGGGACCUGGGGAGGAUAUUCACCAGGGGCCCCUAAGUUAGUCAUUUUAGCUCUCAGCUUUUCCAUUUUUCAUUCAAAAAAUGGGGACUCUAACUCCAUGAAAGAGACAUUGUGUGUGAAAUAUUUCAUCAUAAGCUGUGAAGCCUGCAAAGAAACUCCUGGUGUUCUCUGUAGCCUGAUUUCAUCUCUACUAAACGCUAUUUUGAAAAUGAUUUUGAAGCUGGUGGGUCACAUAGAAGGAUGGCCUGAGCAUCCAUCCAUCUUCCCUCCGGUGACCCUUUCACUUCGUGUCUGUGGUACCCAGUGCCUGGUACUGAAUGUUCCUGGGUGGCCCCGUGGUUCGGCAAACUUUCUGGAAAGGCCCAGGUAGUAAAUAUUUGAGGCCUGGUGGGCCACAUAUGGU